UGUAGCAUCAUAGUUAUCCAAUGAAAACAAAAGGAAAAAAAGAGAAUUUUUGUUUUUUAACAGUCUGGGGAAUGGAAACGGAACUUCCUUUUGGUUCUCCCCGAAAACAACCAUCUUUUUUUAAACCCAUUUUAAAAGAACUCGAAAAAAAAAAUUCAAAAAAAAUGGAUUACCAAUUAGAUCGGUAUUUAAUUAUUAAAU